rnacentral:rRNA from 1 species
UACGUAGGCAGCGAGCGUUGUUCGGAGUUACUGGGCGUAAAGGGUGUGUAGGCGGUUGUUUAAGUUUGGUGUGAAAUCUCCCGGCUCAACUGGGAGGGUGCGCCGAAGACUGGAAGGCUUGAGUAUGGGAGAGGUAAGCGGAAUUCCUGGUGUAGCGGUGAAAUGCGUAGAUAUCAGGAGGAACACCCGUGGCGAAGGCGGCACUCUGGGACGGUACUGACGCUGAGACGCGAAAGCGUGGGGAGCAAACAGG